UGUGAACUCGAAGAGUAGGGCGGGACACGUGGUAUCCUGUCUGAAUAUGGGGGGACCAUCCUCCAAGGCUAAAUACUCCUGACUGACCGAUAGUGAACCAGUACCGUGAGGGAAAGGCGAAAAGAACCCCGGCGAGGGGAGUGAAAAAGAACCUGAAACCGUGUACGUACAAGCAGUGGGAGCACCUUCGGGUGUGACUGCGUACCUUUUGUAUAAUGGGUCAGCGACUUAUAUUCUGUAGCAAGGUUAACCGUAUAGGGGAGCCGCAGGGAAACCGAGUCUUAACUGGGCGUUAAGUUGCAGGGUAUAGACCCGAAACCCGGUGAUCUAGCCAUGGGCAGGUUGAAGGUUGGGUAACACUAACUGGAGGACCGAACCGACUAAUGUUGAAAAAUUAGCGGAUGACUUGUGGCUGGGGGUGAAAGGCCAAUCAAACCGGGAGAUAGCUGGUUCUCCCCGAAAGCUAUUUAGGUAGCGCCUCGUGAACUCAUCUUCGGGGGUAGAGCACUGUUUCGGCUAGGGGGUCAUCCCGACUUACCAACCCGAUGCAAACUACGAAUACCGAAGAAUGUUAUCACGGGAGACACACGGCGGGUGCUAACGUCCGUCGUGAAGAGGGAAACAACCCAGACCGCCAGCUAAGGUCCCAAAGUCAUGGUUAAGUGGGAAACGAUGUGGGAAGGCACAGACAGCCAGGAUGUUGGCUUAGAAGCAGCCAUCAUUUAAAGAAAGCGUAAUAGCUCACUGGUCGAGUCGGCCUGCGCGGAAGAUGUAACGGGGCUAAACCAUGCACCGAAGCUGCGGCAGCGACACUAUGUGUUGUUGGGUAGGGGAGCGUUCUGUAAGCCUGCGAAGGUGACCUGUGAGGGUUGCUGGAGGUAUCAGAAGUGCGAAUGCUGACAUAAGUAACGAUAAAGCGGGUGAAAAGCCCGCUCGCCGGAAGACCAAGGGUUCCUGUCCAACGUUAAUCGGGGCAGGGUGAGUCGACCCCUAAGGCGAGGCCGAAAGGCGUAGUCGAUGGGAAACAGGUUAAUAUUCCUGUACUUGGUGUUACUGCGAAGGGGGGACGGAGAAGGCUAUGUUAGCCGGGCGACGGUUGUCCCGGUUUAAGCAUGUAGGCUGGUUGUCCAGGCAAAUCCGGAUAAUCAAGGCUGAGGUGUGAUGACGAGGCACUACGGUGCUGAAGUAACAAAUGCCCUGCUUCCAGGAAAAGCCUCUAAGCAUCAGGUAACAUCAAAUCGUACCCCAAACCGACACAGGUGGUCAGGUAGAGAAUACCAAGGCGCUUGAGAGAACUCGGGUGAAGGAACUAGGCAAAAUGGUGCCGUAACUUCGGGAGAAGGCACGCUGGUGUGUAGGUGAAGUCCCUGCGGAUGGAGCUGAGACCAGUCGAAGAUACCAGCUGGCUGCAACUGUUUAUUAAAAACACAGCACUGUGCAAACACGAAAGUGGACGUAUACGGUGUGACGCCUGCCCGGUGCCGGAAGGUUAAUUGAUGGGGUUAUCCGUAAGGAGAAGCUCUUGAUCGAAGCCCCGGUAAACGGCGGCCGUAACUAUAACGGUCCUAAGGUAGCGAAAUUCCUUGUCGGGUAAGUUCCGACCUGCACGAAUGGCGUAAUGAUGGCCAGGCUGUCUCCACCCGAGACUCAGUGAAAUUGAACUCGCUGUGAAGAUGCAGUGUACCCGCGGCAAGACGGAAAGACCCCGUGAACCUUUACUAUAGCUUGACACUGAACAUUGAGCCUUGAUGUGUAGGAUAGGUGGGAGGCUUUGAAGCGUGGACGCCAGUCUGCGUGGAGCCAACCUUGAAAUACCACCCUUUAAUGUUUGAUGUUCUAACGUUGGCCCCUGACCGGGGUUGCGGACAGUGUCUGGUGGGUAGUUUGACUGGGGCGGUCUCCUCCCAAAGCGUAACGGAGGAGCACGAAGGUUAGCUAAUCCUGGUCGGACAUCAGGAGGUUAGUGCAAUGGCAUAAGCUAGCUUGACUGCGAGCGUGACGGCGCGAGCAGGUGCGAAAGCAGGUCAUAGUGAUCCGGUGGUUCUGAAUGGAAGGGCCAUCGCUCAACGGAUAAAAGGUACUCCGGGGAUAACAGGCUGAUACCGCCCAAGAGUUCAUAUCGACGGCGGUGUUUGGCACCUCGAUGUCGGCUCAUCACAUCCUGGGGCUGAAGUAGGUCCCAAGGGUAUGGCUGUUCGCCAUUUAAAGUGGUACGCGAGCUGGGUUUAGAACGUCGUGAGACAGUUCGGUCCCUAUCUGCCGUGGGCGCUGGAGAAUUGAGGGGGGCUGCUCCUAGUACGAGAGGACCGGAGUGGACGCAUCACUGGUGUUCGGGUUGUCAUGCCAAUGGCACUGCCCGGUAGCUAAAUGCGGAAGAGAUAAGUGCUGAAAGCAUCUAAGCACGAAACUUGCCCCGAGAUGAGUUCUCCCUGAGACUUUAAGUCUCCUGAAGGAACGUUGAAGACGACGACGUUGAUAGGCCGGGUGUGUAAGCGCAGCGAUGCGUUGAGCUAACCGGUACUAAUGAACCGUGAGGCUUAACCUUACAACGCCGAAG
rnacentral:rRNA from 1 species